ACCCGGGAUGGAGUUUCUCGCUGGGGCCUCCAAAUGUUAGCGGGCAAAAUCAAACCACCAUCCACUGCAAGGAAGCAAAAGAUGUUUAUU
rnacentral:miRNA from 1 species